rnacentral:rRNA from 1 species
UACGAAGGGGGCUAGCGUUGCUCGGAAUCACUGGGCGUAAAGGGUGCGUAGGCGGGUCUUUAAGUCAGGGGUGAAAUCCUGGAGCUCAACUCCAGAACUGCCUUUGAUACUGGGAAUCUCGAGUCCGGAAGAGGUGAGUGGAACUGCGAGUGUAGAGGUGAAAUUCGUAGAUAUUCGCAAGAACACCAGUGGCGAAGGCGGCUCACUGGUCCGGUACUGACGCUGAGGUGCGAAAGCGUGGGGAGCAAACAGG